GAGUUUGAUCAUGGCUCAGAUUGAACGCUGGCGGCAUGCCUUACACAUGCAAGUCGAACGGCAGCACGGGAGCUUGCUCCUGGUGGCGAGUGGCGAACGGGUGAGUAAUGCAUCGGAACGUAUCCCGGAGUGGGGGAUAACGUAGCGAAAGUUACGCUAAUACCGCAUAUUCUGUGAGCAGGAAAGCGGGGGACCUUCGGGCCUCGCGCUCUUGGAGCGGCCGAUGUCGGAUUAGCUAGUUGGUGAGGUAAAGGCUCACCAAGGCGACGAUCCGUAGCAGGUCUGAGAGGAUGAUCUGCCACACUGGAACUGAGACACGGUCCAGACUCCUACGGGAGGCAGCAGUGGGAAUUUUGGACAAUGGGGGCAACCCUGAUCCAGCCAUGCCGCGUGAGUGAAGAAGGCCUCGG
rnacentral:rRNA from 1 species